GGCCAAAUAUCAAAAACAAGUUCAGCAAGUUGAUUAUUGAAUAUACCCUCAUGUAUACACCGACCGAAAGAUGUCUGAAUUUUCCUUUCCAGAAAAUGGCUAACGCUGCCACAUUACCGAUAGAUCCUGUUACCACAAUAAUGGGUAAAAUAUAAACAUACAAUGAAGUUUCCAAUGUUUCAAAUAAGAUGUCCGACGUUUGAUUGAAGAUAACUCCUGAGUGAUUCCCUAAAAUGCACAUUGUUAGUUUUGGUAAAAAUUUCGCACAAAAUCAACUGUUUAUAAUCAGCCUUAUGAUAGAGUUACUUCCUUACGUGUCCAUCAACUCUCU
rnacentral:lncRNA from 1 species